UACGUAGGGUCCGAGCGUUGUCCGGAAUUACUGGGCGUAAAGAGCUCGUAGGUGGUUUGUCGCGUUGUUCGUGAAAACUCACAGCUUAACUGUGGGCGUGCGGGCGAUACGGGCAGACUGGAGUACUGCAGGGGAGACUGGAAUUCCUGGUGUAGCGGUGGAAUGCGCAGAUAUCAGGAGGAACACCGGUGGCGAAGGCGGUUCUCUGGGCAUGUCCUGACGCUGAGGAGCGAAAGUGUGGGGAGCGAACAGG
rnacentral:rRNA from 1 species